GCGAACGGGUGAGUAAUAUAUCGGAACGUACCCUAGGGAGGGGGAUAACGUAGCGAAAGUUACGCUAAUACCGCAUACGCUCUACGGAGGAAAACAGGGGACCGCAAGGCUUGCGCUCAUGGAGCGGCCGAUAUCGGAUUAGCUUGUUGGUGGGGUAAAAGCCUACCAAGGCGACGAUCCGUAGCUGGUCUGAGAGGACGACCAGCCACACUGGGACUGAGACACGGCCCAGACUCCUACGGGAGGCAGCAGUGGGGAAUUUUGGACAAUGGGGGAAACCCUGAUCCAGCCAUUCCGCGUGAGUGAAGAAGGCCUUCGGGUUGUAAAGCUCUUUUGUCCGGAGCGAAACGGUUAGCGUGAAUAUCGCUGACUACUGACGGUACCGGAAGAAUAAGCACCGGCUAACUACGUGCCAGCAGCCGCGGUAAUACGUAGGGUGCGAGCGUUAAUCGGAAUUACUGGGCGUAAAGCGUGCGCAGGCGGUUUUGUAAGCCAGAUGUGAAAUCCCCGGGCUCAACCUGGGAAUGGCAUUUGGGACUGCAAGGCUUGAG
rnacentral:rRNA from 1 species